GACGAACCGAGCGAACGUUGUUCGGAAUCACUGGGCUUAAAGGGCGCGCAGGCGGCUUACCAAGUCAGGGGUGAAAUUUUGCGGCUUAACCGUAACAGUGCCUUUGAUACUGGUAGGCUCGAGGGAGACAGGGGUCCGCGGAACUUCUGGUGGAGCGGUGAAAUGCGUUGAUAUCAGAAGGAACGCCGGUGGCGAAAGCGGCGGACUGGAUCUUUUCUGACGCUGAGGCGCGAAAGCUAGGGGAGCAAACGGG
rnacentral:rRNA from 1 species